AGAAAAACAAUAAUGAUUUUUUUUUAUACCACUCCAGGUGGCAUUUUACAUAUAAGCAAUACUGAAUGGAGUUGACAGACUACGAAGGAGACUUUACAAUAAAUAACAAAUCUCAUUACAGACAGUUAUUUAAAUUGGACCUCAUUUGGAAAUGGUUGGACUCCGGCUAAUGGACGUUCCUGUUGCUCAUUACGUGAUGUAGACAAAGAAGCCACAACUAUCAUGAAAUAAUGUCCGGACUGAAAGGGCAACAGAACUUACCAAUUAAUCAUGGAUAGCCACAAAUUGUGUCACUCAUCAAGCUUCUGGAUAUAAAAUUAAUUAAAAUAUAUUGUGAAUUUUAUUUUUUUAAAUGUUUUCCUCUGCAAAAGUCUCAAAAAUAAUGUUAGCAAUAUGUAUUAAUUCUGUAGGCUGUAUGUUUAUUAAUAUUGUACUAUUACUGCUAAUGUUUAUCUUAUUAAUAAAAUAACCCGUUUGUUGUAAAGAAUAUAGACAUGUAAGAAAAUAAGAUAUAACAUUUUAAAGGAUUAGAAUCAGGUCUAUUGGUUUUUGGCGGAUGUACAUGAUAUGGACCUAUAGUAUAUAAAUAUAAAAUGUAUGCAAAUAUCCCAACUUAAUUUCAAUGCUUGAAAAUAAAUAUCAAAUGGAA